CAGUCGCCGCGGUAAUACGGAGGGAGCUAGCGUUGUUCGGAAUUACUGGGCGUAAAGCGCACGUAGGCGGCUCAGCAAGUCAGGGGUGAAAUCCCGGGGCUCAACCCCGGAACUGCCCUUGAAACUGCUAGGCUAGAAUCUUGGAGAGGCGAGUGGAAUUCCGAGUGUAGAGGUGAAAUUCGUAGAUAUUCGGAAGAACACCAGUGGCGAAGGCGACUCGCUGGACAAGUAUUGACGCUGAGGUGCGAAAGCGUGGGGAGCAAACAGGAUUAGAUACCCCUGUAGUCCCUGUCUCUUAUAC
rnacentral:rRNA from 1 species